AAGUGCAUCCCUUUCUCCCGGAAGCACUUCCCCAGCCUGCAGCGAUUCUGGGUCGGAGCGCUGCGGUUCCGCUGCUGAUGCGUUGUGCUCUUGGCGCUGCUCUGCUGGUUGCUGCUAGGCUGUGUUCCCGGGGGAUGCACGCAGCGUUGGUGCUUUGCUGCUGCGUGCUGGGCUGCAGCUGCGCUGUGCUGGCACUGGGAAGCGAUGAGCACAUGGUGCAGCUGCCUGGGGGGAAGUUCCAGAUGGGCUCCAGCUCCAUGCAGAGCAGAGACGAGGAGGGACCCAUCCGGGAGGUGACAGUGAAACCCUUCGCUAUUGACAAGUUCCCCGUCACCAACAGGGACUUCAGGGAGUUUGUUAGAGAAAAGAAAUACAAAACUGAAGCAGAAGCAUUUGGCUGGAGCUUUGUCUUUGAGGAUUUCGUAUCGGAAGAGCUGAAAAAAAAAGUCACCCAAAAACUGGAGUCUGCUCCUUGGUGGCUGCCAGUUGAGAAGGCUUUUUGGCGACAGCCCGCAGGUCCCGGCUCUGGCAUCGCGGACAGACUGGACCACCCAGUGCUGCACGUGAGCUGGAACGACGCGCAGGCGUUCUGCAGCUGGAAGGGGAAGAGGCUCCCAGCUGAGGAGGAGUGGGAGUUCGCUGCCCGGGGAGGGCUGCAGCGCUGUAUCCCUGGGGAAACAAGUUCCAGCCAAACCGCACCAACCUGUGGCAGGGUGACUUCCCAAGGGGGGACACGGCCGAGGAUGGCUAUCACGGCGUGUCUCCGGUGGCUGCAUUCUCACCUCAGAACAGUUAUGGGCUCUACGACCUUCUGGGGAACACCUGGGAGUGGACGGCCUCACAGUAUGUGGCACCGGGCCCUCCCCGGCCGCGUGCUGAAGCGAUGCGUGUGCUGAGAGGGGCCUCAUGGAUUGACACUGUGGAUGGGUCUGCAAACCACCGGGCUCGCGUCACCACCAGGAUGGGGAACACACCAGACUCAGCCUCCGACAACCUCAGCUUCCGCUGUGCUGCCGACAUCCCGAGUCGCACCACCGAGAGCAGCAGAACCAAACCUGAGCUCUGAGGAGGGCAUCUGGCACGACCUGAGGGCACUUUCUCCUGUGGAGAUGGACAGUAACCCCCCAGAAGCCAUUUUCAUUAAACCAGUGAAGUUUUAGAAGUUAAUACUUCUGGCCUAAAACUCAUUUCUGCACAUGUCUGGGUGCUGAGCAAGCAGCAGACGUUUUGUCUCUAAUGUCCCAUGGGUGCUGCAGAUGUUACGUGUCUCCUGCUGGUGUGUCUGCAGCAAACAGAGGGCUGUUUGUGCGUGUCCAACCCCAAAUCUGAUGGCACAGGAGCCCCAGGCACAGCGGGGUGAGGACAUCCCUCCAGGCACCGCUCAUCCCAUACGGGUCCAGUGGGAUCUGCUGCUCUGCUGGAGGGCUGACUACUCCAAAGCAGUCCCUUGCAGCAAGUCUGGAGGAAACCCAAACUGGGCUUUACCCAGCACGCACGACAGCCAUCUGCACCUAAGCUUGAGGCGGGCAGCUUUUAAGAAAAAAAAAAAAAACACCAAAAAACACCGGUCAGUUUGGAAAUACUUUA